CUACGGGCUGCUCCAGUGGGGAAUUUUGCGCAAUGGGGGAAACCCUGACGCAGCAAUACCGCGUGAGUGAAGAAGGCCUUUGGGUCGUAAAGCUCUUUUCUUGGGGAAGAUAGUGACGGUACCCAAGGAAUAAGCACCGGCUAACUCCGUGCCAGCAGCCGCGGUAAUACGGAGGGUGCAAGCGUUGUUCGGAUUUACUGGGCGUAAAGGGCACGUAGGCGGCACAGCAAGUUAAGGGUGAAAUCCCGGGGCUCAACUCCGGAACUGCUCUUAAAACUGCUGAGCUAGAGAUAGUCGAGGCGGGUGGAAUUCCAGGUGUAGAGGUGAAAUUCGUAGAUAUCUGGAGGAACACCGGUGGCGAAGGCGGCCCGCUGGGGCUAUUCUGACGCUAAGGUGCGAAAGCGUGGGGAGCAAACGGGAUUAGAUACCCGAGUAGUC
rnacentral:rRNA from 1 species